CCUACGGGAGGCAGCAGUGGGGAAUAUUGCACAAUGGGGGGAACCCUGAUGCAGCGACGCCGCGUGAGUGAAGAAGUAUUUCGGUAUGUUAAGCUCUGUCAGCAGGGAAGAAGAAAGACGGUACCUGACCAAGAAGCCCCGGCCAACUACGUGCCAGCAGCCGCGGUAAUACGGAGGGGGCAAGCGUUAUCCGGAUUUACUGGGGGUAAAGGGAGCGUAGGCGGCGGGGCAAGUCUGGAGUGAAAGGGAGGGGUCCAACCCCUGGACUGCUCUGGAAACUGUCCGGCUGGAGUGCAGGAGAGGUAAGUGGAAUUCGUAGUGUAGCGGUGAAAUGCGUAGAUAUUAGGAAGAACACCGGUGGCGAAGGCGGCUUACUGGACUGUAACUGACGUUGAGGCUCGAAAGCGUGGGGAGCGAACAGGAUUAGAUACCCGUGUAGUC
rnacentral:rRNA from 1 species